rnacentral:rRNA from 1 species
GAUGAACGCUGGCGGCGUGCCUAAUACAUGCAAGUCGAGCGAACAGACGAUGAGCUUGCUCCUCUGACGUUAGCGGCGGACGGGUGAGAAACACGUGUAUAACCUACCUAUAAGACUGGGAUAACUUCGGGAAACCGGAGCUAAUACCGGAUAACAUGCUGAUGCGCAUGGGUCAACAGUGAAAUACGGUCGUGCUGUCACUUAUAGAUGCAUCUGGGCUGCAUUAGCUAGUUGGUAAGGUAACGGGUUACCAAGGGAACGAGGCGUAGCCGACCUGCGAGGGUGAUCGGCCACACUGGAGCUGGGCCACGGUCCAGACGCCUACGGGAGGCAGCAGUAGGGAAUCUUCCGCAGUGGGCGAGAGCCUGACAGAGCAACGCCGCGUGAGUGAAGAAGGUCUUGGGUUCGUAAAGACCUGUUAUUGGGGGAGAACAAAUGUGUAAGUAACUGUACACGUCGUGACGGUAACUAGUCAGGAAGCAACGGCUAACUACGUG